rnacentral:lncRNA from 1 species
CACACACACACACACACACACACAGGAAUACUAUUCUCCAUUACAAAAGAAGAAAAUCUUGCCAUUUCUUCUUGCCAAUGUUGUUGCCAUCAACAACAUUGAUGAACUUGGAGGACAUUAUGUUAAGUGAAAUAAACCAGGCACAGCAAGACAAGUAUCAUAGAAUCUUAUGUGUGGAGUGUUAGAAAAGUCAAACUCAUAGAAACAGAGAGUAAAAUGGAGAUUACUAGAGGCUGAGGGAUGGAAGUAAAAGGACACCAAAUUUCAGUUAGAAGAAAUAAGUUCAAGAGAUCUAUUGUACAUC